rnacentral:misc_RNA from 1 species
GUAAAGAAUGGGGUAAAUAAUGUUGAGCUGAUAAAAACAGUCAUAUGCAUGUAGAUUUUGCUUGGAUAUAACCGAAGAAUUUAUGUGAAGUACAUAUGUCUCCAUGUCGAUACUACUUUCCUUUUUAUCAGGCUUUGGACACGAUAAAGAAAUCUGUGCCCAAGAAGAAAGACAAAGACAAGUCAGCUUCAGCUUUCUCAGAAGACGAUGCAAAAAGACUGGAGAAGGAAAUUGAUGACUUGACAAAAAAGUUUAUUAAGUCAGCAGAAGAUAUGUGCAAGUCAAAGGACAGAGAAAUAACUAGCAGUUGAAGAAACUAGUUUUAGUUUCAUCGGAGGCUCACGCAAAGGUUCAAUUUUUUGGCUGAAGCUAUAGAGGGAAUUAUUUACUCUCCAGAAUUCUUGUACUCGAAGUCGGAAAAAGAUAACAAGACAUGUUACAACUUACAAGUGAUCAUGCUAAUACUUGAAAAGAAAGAUAUUGUAUUUCAUAUAACCUAUGCUGUUGGUUUUUAGCUUUUCAUGUUCAGGAUCAUAUAUCAUUUCAUUUUGUG